rnacentral:rRNA from 1 species
UACGUAGGGUGCAAGCGUUGUCCGGAAUUAUUGGGCGUAAAGAGCUCGUAGGCGGUUCGUCGCGUCGGCUGUGAAAACCUGAGGCUCAACCUCAGGCCUGCAGUCGAUACGGGCGGACUUGAGUACUGCAGGGGAGACUGGAAUUCCUGGUGUAGCGGUGAAAUGCGCAGAUAUCAGGAGGAACACCGGUGGCGAAGGCGGUUCUCUGGGCCUUACCUGACGCGUGAGGAGCGAAAGUGUGGGGAGCGAAACAGG